UACGGGGGGGAGCAAGCGUUGUUCGGAUUUACUGGGCGUAAAGGGCGCGUAGGCGGCGUGGUAAGUCACUUGUGAAAUCUCCGAGCUUAACUCGGAACGGUCAAGUGAUACUGUCGUGCUAGAGUGCGGAAGGGGCUACUGGAAUUCUCGGUGUAGCGGUGAAAUGCGUAGAUAUCGAGAGGAACACCUGCGGCGAAGGCGGGUAGCUGGGCCGACACUGACGCUGAUGCGCGAAAGCCAGGGGAGCGAACGGG
rnacentral:rRNA from 1 species